AACCUCCGCAAUGUGAGAAAUCGCGACGGGGGGAUCCCAAGUGCCAUUCUUAACGGGAUGGCUUUUCUUAAGUGUAAAAAGCUUUUGGAAUAAGAGCUGGGCAAGACCGGUGCCAGCCGCCGCGGUAACACCGGCAGCUCUAGUGGUAGCUGUUUUUAUUGGGCCUAAAGCGUUCGUAGCCGGUUUGAUAAGUCACUGGUGAAAUCCUGUAGCUUAACUGUGGGAAUUGCUGGUGAUACUGUUGAACUUGAGGUCGGGAGAGGUUAGCGGUACUCCAGGGUAGAGGUGAAAUUCUGUAAUCCUGGGAGGACCACCUGUGGCGAAGGCGGCUAACUGGAACGAACCUGACGGUGAGGGACGAAAGCUAGGGGCGCGAACCGGAUUAGAUACCCGGGUAGUCCUAGCCGUAAACGAUGCGGACUUGGUGUUGGGAUGGCUUUGAGCCGCUCCGGUGCCGAAGGGAAGCUGUUAAGUCCGCCGCCUGGGAAGUACGGUCGCAAGACUGAAACUUAAAGGAAUU
rnacentral:rRNA from 1 species